AAAUCUUUUCCUCUCUCUGUUAUGACUAGAAGAAUACUCUGUUAAAGCAUACUGUUUUGCUUCUGAUGUAGUUGAACUUAGUCUAUCAAUUGAUAGUCUCAUUAAUCCAUCUGUCAAUAGUCUAAGAUGUUUGUCAUUUUGGCGUCACACAUGAUUUUGUGGACUUAGCCCUUGUCCCAUGUAUUUAUUUCAUCUUAAUUUCACUCUAAGUAUUGGACCCCCCACUUCGUAUUUUACCUUAUUAUUUGCUGGUCAUCUUUGUAAUCUUGUGGAGAUAGGAUUAAGCAUGUAUUCUUUAUUUAGGAACCACAUAUAGUACUGUUUGUUUGUUUUAUUAGGCUUAAGAGAAUAAACGUAUGCUCCUAUGCUUCAGAAAAGGUUGCAGAUACAUUAAGCCUUCCAUCAUAUUAUAAAAACAUAUUCAUAUGCACGUGACUACAUAAUAUUGUUUAUUAUGUAUUUUGAUAAACAUAGAGUCCAUUUGCUAAUUCUUUUCGUCUUUUUAUAUUUCAUGUACAACCGGAGAGCUGGAGUUUCUACUUUG
rnacentral:lncRNA from 1 species